CCUGAAUUCGAAAGGGGCCGGAUUCAAGUCCAUCCUGAUUGCUCAGGCCGCUACGGCCCCGCCCCAGAUGGUGUCCGGUCGCCCGCGGCGAAUUCAUUUCGCUUGCGGUGUCGUUCCCGGCGCUCACUCGGUGGGGUGGCGUUGCUCUGGCGUCGGAGGAGUGCACUUCCACCCUAGUAGAAACGUCGCGACCCGUUGGGUGCCGGUCUAAGGCCCGGGAUGGCAGACCACGUGUCCUGCGGGGGCUCUCGCAGGCGCGCGGACUCCUGGUGUCCCGGCCGGCUGCCCGACGGUAAGACCAGAGGGGUCGAUCCGCUACUUGUGAAACACUUUGGAUGGUGUAGCGUCCGGCCCGGCGCCGACGCGUGCGGGGA
rnacentral:rRNA from 1 species